rnacentral:misc_RNA from 1 species
GAUGAAGAACGUAGCGAAAUGCGAUAAGUAAUGCGAAUUGCAGAAUUUCCGUGAGUCAUCGAAUCUUUGAACGCACAUUGCGCCCGCCAGUAUUCUGGCGGGCAUGCCUGUUCGAGCGUCAUUACAACCCUCAGGCCCCCGGGCCUGGCGUUGGGGAUCGGCGGAAGCCCCCUGCGGGCACAACGCCGUCCCCCAAAUACAGUGGCGGUCCCGCCGCAGCUUCCAUUGCGUAGUAGCUAACACCUCGCAACUGGAGAGCGGCGCGGCCACGCCGUAAAACACCCAACUUCUGAAUGUUGACCUCGAAUCAGGUAGGAAUACCCGCUGAACUUAAGCAUAUCAAUAAGCGGAGGA